rnacentral:rRNA from 1 species
GAUGAACGCUGGCGGUGUGCCUAAUACAUGCAAGUCGAGCGAACAGACGAGGAGCUUACUCCUCUGACGUUAGCGGCGGACGGGUGAGUAACACGUGGAUAACCUACCUAUAAGACUGGGAUAACUUCGGGAAACCGGAGCUAAUACCGGAUAACAUGUUGAACCGCAUGGUUCAACAGUGAAAGACGGUCUUGCUGUCACUUAUAGAUGGAUCCGCGUCGCAUUAGCUAGUUGGUAAGGUAACGGCUUACCAAGGCAACGAUGCGUAGCCGACCUGAGAGGGUGAUCGGCCACACUGGAACUGAGACACGGUCCAGACUCCUACGGGAGGCAGCAGUAGGGAAUCUUCCGCAAUGGGCGAAAGCCUGACGGAGCAACGCCGCGUGAGUGAAGAAGGUCUUCGGAUCGUAAAACUCUGUUAUUAGGGAAGAACAAAUGUGUAAGUGACUAUGCACGUCUUGACGGUACCUAAUCAGAAAGCCACGGCUAACUACGUG